UGAGAGGGCCAGGUGAUCGCGGGCGGAGCAAUCCGCCUGAGGAAAGUCCGAACUCCACAGAGCACGAUGCUGGAUAACAUCCAGGCAGGGUGACCUGACGGCAAGUGCAACAGAAAGCAGGGCGCCGGCGGGCCGAGCCCGCCGGUAAGCGUGAAAGGGUGGUGUAAGAGACCACCAGCGGUCCAGGUGACUGGGCCGGCUAGGCAAACCCCAUCGGGAGCAAGACCAAGUAGGAAGGCGCGACGCGGCAUGCCGCGUCACAGGGCUGCUCGCUCUGGCCUUUGGGUUGGUCGCUAGAGGCGGCGGGCAACCGCCGUCCCAGAGAGAUGAUCACCGCCGCCGCGGCUUCCGCGGCGGCACAGAAUUCGGCUUAUCGGCCCUCUCAGGGU
rnacentral:RNase_P_RNA from 1 species